CACGUAGGGGGCAAGCGUUGUCCGGAUUUAUUGGGCGUAAAGAGCUCGUAGGUGGUUCGGUAAGUCAGGUGUGAAACCUCCAGGCUCAACCUGGAGACGCCACUUGAUACUGCUGUGACUGGAGUCCGGUAGGGGAGCGUGGAAUUCCUGGUGUAGCAGUGAAAUGCGCAGAUAUCAGGAGGAACACCAGCGGCGAAGGCGGCGCUCUGGGCCGGUACUGACACUGAGGAGCGAAAGCGUGGGUAGCAAACAGG
rnacentral:rRNA from 1 species